rnacentral:rRNA from 1 species
UUCGGGGUACUCGAGUGGCGAACGGGUGAGUAACACGUGGGUGAUCUGCCCUGCACUUUGGGAUAAGCCUGGGAAACUGGGUCUAAUACCGAAUAGGACCACGCGCUUCAUGGUGUGUGGUGGAAAGCUUUUGCGGUGUGGGAUGGGCCCGCGGCCUAUCAGCUUGUUGGUGGGGUAAUGGCCUACCAAGGCGACGACGGGUAGCCGGCCUGAGAGGGUGACCGGCCACACUGGGACUGAGAUACGGCCCAGACUCCUACGGGAGGCAGCAGUGGGGAAUAUUGCACAAUGGGCGCAAGCCUGAUGCAGCGACGCCGCGUGAGGGAUGACGGCCUUUCGGGUUGUAAACCUCUUUCAAUAGGGACGAAGCGUGAGUGACGGUACCUAUAGAAGAAGCACCGGCCAACUACGUGCCAGCAGCCGCGGUAAUACGUAGGGUGCGAGCGUUGUCCGGAAUUACUGGGCGUAAAGAGCUCGUAGGUGGUUUGUCGCGUUGUUCGUGAAAACUCACAGCUUAACUGUGGGCGUGCGGGCGAUACGGGCAGACUAGAGUACUGCAGGGGAGACUGGAAUUCCUGGUGUAGCGGUGGAAUGCGCAGAUAUCAGGAGGAACACCGGUGGCGAAGGCGGGUCUCUGGGCAGUAACUGACGCUGAGGAGCGAAAGCGUGGGGAGCGAACAGGAUUAGAUACCCUGGUAGUCCACGCNGUAAACGGUGGGUACUAGGUGUGGGUUCCUUCCUUGGGAUCCGUGCCGUAGCUAACGCAUUAAGUACCCCGCCUGGGGAGUACGGCCGCAAGGCUAAAACUCAAAGGAAUUGACGGGGGCCCGCACAAGCGGCGGAGCAUGUGGAUUAAUUCGAUGCAACGCGAAGAACCUUACCUGGGUUUGACAUGCACAGGACGCCGGCAGAGAUGUCGGUUCCCUUGUGGCCUGUGUGCAGGUGGUGCAUGGCUGUCGUCAGCUCGUGUCGUGAGAUGUUGGGUUAAGUCCCGCAACGAGCGCAACCCUUGUCCUAUGUUGCCAGCGGGUUAUGCCGGGGACUCGUAGGAGACUGCCGGGGUCAACUCGGAGGAAGGUGGGGAUGACGUCAAGUCAUCAUGCCCCUUAUGUCCAGGGCUUCACACAUGCUACAAUGGCCGGUACAAAGGGCUGCGAUGCCGUGAGGUGGAGCGAAUCCUUUCAAAGCCGGUCUCAGUUCGGAUCGGGGUCUGCAACUCGACCCCGUGAAGUCGGAGUCGCUAGUAAUCGCAGAUCAGCAACGCUGCGGUGAAUACGUUCCCGGGCCUUGUACACACCGCCCGUCACGUCAUGAAAGUCGGUAACACCCGAAGCCGGU